CGCCGGCCUUGGCGGGUGCGUGGGAGUGGGAAAGGGGAGACUGUGACUCCUGCGGACCAGGCCGGUUGCUGUAGGGAAGGCCUGAAUCCUAGCACUUGGGAGAUUGAAGAGACUGAGGCCGUGGCUAUGGACUGAAGCAGGUCCGUUGCUUGUGAAUGCAGUUCGGAGUCUGAAGAAACCCUCUCGCUGGUGGUUGUAAUGCUCAUUUACUACUUUCAUCCCUCCGGAUCCUAAUGCAUGCCCACAGUCGCCAACAUCUGAAGAAUCCUGUUUUUCUCUGGAGAGGCGUCCACACCUGCCAGUCACAAUAAUGCUUAGAUAUUGACAGGGACAGAUGUCCAAGAUAGCUUACGUGUGGGGUGGGGGGAACCCAAACCCACAAACUACAGCCAGCUCUAGGGUAAUCCAAUUGCAUUGGUAGAUUAUCUACUUAUGCAUAUAAUUUAGGCACCAAGAAAGGAAGGAGGAGCCACAACUUUUGAUAUUCUUUAUUUGUAAUGCUGAAGAUAAACCCAGGCCUUACACUAGGCAGGCAGGUACUUAACAUUGGAGGGAGAGGAGGGAGAAAAAUAACCUUUUUGGAUUUUUUUGGGGUUUUUUUUGUUUGUUUUGUUUUUCAAGACAGGGUUUCUCUGUGUAGCCUUGGUUGUCCUGAAACUAACUAACUCUGUAGACCAGGUUAGCCUCAAAGAAUAACAAUCCUUCUCAGAAGUGAAACUUGACAAUGGUCUGGUCCAUGGGGCUGCUCAGAAAAGUGCUGCUCUUGUAUGUCUCAUUGGUAUUGGAAAAAAUAAACCUGUACAACCUGCCAAAAAAAAAAAGAAUAACAAUCUUUUUGGGCAAAUAUAUUUCUAAGAGAGCACAGUGGUCAUGAGUAGAGGAAGAGUGAAAACUUGGGCAUUUUGCUUGUUUAUUGUUUAGCACUUCUAAAAACCAUU